GUUAAGGUGGCAGAACCCGGACAUUGCAAAAGACCUAAGCCCUUUCCAUAGAGAUUCAAAUUCUCUCCUUAACU
rnacentral:tRNA from 1 species